rnacentral:misc_RNA from 1 species
UCUGGCUUAUAGCCUAGCGGUCCCGUUAGAGUGCCCAACUUAAUGAUGGUAACUAACGGCGAGGGUUGCGCUCGUUGCGGGACUUAACCCAACAUCUCACAACACGAGCUGACGACAGCCAUGCAGCACCUGUCACCGGGUCCCCGAAGGGAACCCCUGCUUUCACAGGGUAGCCCGGGAUGUCAAGCCCAGGUAAGGUUCUUCGCGUAGCAUCGAAUUAAA